rnacentral:rRNA from 1 species
GACGAACGCUGGCGGCGUGCUUAACACAUGCAAGUCGAACGGUGAAGCACCUUCCUUUUGGUGGGGUGGAAGAGUGGCGAACGGGUGAGGAACACGUGAGUAACCUUGCCCCUUCUUCUGGAUAACCGCCUGAAAGUUGGGCCAAUACGGGAUUUUCUGUGCCUGCUGCAUGGGGGGGGUGGGAAAGAUGGGGUUUUGGGGGGUUUUGGUGGGGGAUGGGCUCGCGGCCUAUCAGCUUGUUGGUGGGGUGAUGGCCUACCAAGGCGGUGACGGGUAGCCGGCCUGAGAGGGUGGACGGUCACACUGGGACUGAGACACGGCCCAGACUCCUACGGGAGGAAGCAGUGGGGAAUAUUGCACAAUGGGCGCAAGCCUGAUGCAGCGACGCCGCGUGAGGGAUGGAGGCCUUCGGGUUGUAAACCUCUUUCGCCAGUGAAGCAGGCCUGUCCCUUGUGGGUGGGUUGACGGUAGCUGGAGAAGAAGCGCCGGCUAACUACGUG